UACGUAGGGUGCGAGCGUUGUCCGGAAUUACUGGGCGUAAAGCGCUCGUAGGUGGUUUGUCGCGUUGUCCGUGAAAACUCACAACUCAAUUGUGGGCGUGCGGGCGAUACGGGCAGACUGGAGUACUGCAGGGGAGACUGGAAUUCCUGGUGUAGCGGUGGAAUGCGCAGAUAUCAGGAGGAACACCGGUGGCGAAGGCGGGUCUCUGGGCAGGAACUGACGCUGAGGAGCGAAAGCGUGGGGAGCGAACAGG
rnacentral:rRNA from 1 species